AUGUCAUGAUGAGGACACAUUCUAAGCAUUUCAUUAAAACGUUUGAAGGCUUCAUGAAAUGUUUCCCCAACAUGUUGACUAAAAGAUUUGAUAGCAUUUCGAGCUU
rfam:Helianthus annuus linkage group 15, whole genome shotgun sequence.